rnacentral:rRNA from 1 species
AUGCUCCAUUUACAUCUCGAACUAAUACGACGAGAUCCAAAGUCAAAGGAUUCUGCGAAAAUCUCAUUAUUCAAGUGCGGUAAGUGUGUUAAGAUGCCACUUUUGAAACGGAGAAGACGAGGUCUAAAAUCCAAGGCUUCUAUGAAAAUCUCAUUGUUCAAGUGCAGUAAGUGCGUUAAGACUCCACUUUUGGAACGGAGAAGACGAGAUCCAAAAUCAAUGGUUUCCGUGAAAAUCUCAUUGUUCAAGUGUAGUAAGUCCAUUAUGAUGCCACCUUUGGAGUGGACAAGAAGAAAUCUAGAAUCAAAGGCUUCUGCAAAAAUCUCAUUGUUCAAGUGCAGUAAGUGCGUUAAGAUACCACUUUUGGAACGGAGAAGAUGA